AUUUAAAUAGCUUAUAUAAAGAGCAUAACAUUGAAGCUGUUAAGGAGAUACCUUAUCUUUAAAUA
rnacentral:tRNA from 1 species